UACGGGGGGGGCAAGCGUUGUUCGGAAUUACUGGGCGUAAAGGGCUCGUAGGCGGCCAACUAAGUCGGAUGUGAAAUCCCCAAGCUUAACUUGGGAACUGCAUCCGAUACUGGAUGGCUUGAAUCCGGGAGAGGGAUGCAGAAUUCCAGGUGUAGCGGUGAAAUGCGUAGAUAUCUGGAGGAAUACCGGUGGCGAAGGCGGCAUCCUGGACCAUUACUGACGCUGAGGCGCGAAAGCUAGGGGAGCAAACGGG
rnacentral:rRNA from 1 species